CGGCUCGGCUCGGCUCUGCUCGCCUCGGAUCGGAUCGGCUCGGCUCGGCUCAGCUCGGGUCAGGCUUCCGAC
rnacentral:miRNA from 1 species